rnacentral:lncRNA from 1 species
CCAAGAUUUUGUUUUCGUGUCUUUUCCAAAAUAAUCUAGAAGACUGCUUGUACCACGAAAACAACAGUGGGAAGAUGGCGUAUUUCUGCCUCACGCCACGAUAUGCCAAAGGAAAACCAAUGAGUCAAACAACCCCCAAAACUAAUCAAUUUGAAGAAUAUGUACAGCUGUGACGAGUGACCCCUGUGUAUUGAAGUUGUUGCCAGGUCCCAGACUUAAGAUAACAGACAGCAAGGACCAUAGGUUGUGGGCCAGACUGAUCUUGACCUCACUGAGUUUAGACUGCCUCUGCCUCCCAAGUGCUGGGACUAAAGGCGUGCCCCACCACGCCCAGCGGUAUGCAACUUGUUCUAACCAUGACCUCUCUAUGGCUGUGAAGAGACACCAUGACCAAAACUAAAGAAGGAAACCGAAACAAAACUGGGGCUGAUAAUAAGGUUUAGAAGGAAAGACGGUGCUGAGCAGGGGACACAUGUGCCUGAGAGAUGGCAGGGCCUGCCAGAGAAAGGAAUCAUUAACCACCAUAAAGUUCAGAGAGGGAAGCUUGUGGUUUGGAGGAUGCCUGCUAGUCAUCCAAGAAACAGCUACACAUUCUCCAUCACCCUCGGGAAGAGUUAUUUCCUCUCUCGCGUUCCAAGCAUUUUGAUAGAGAUAAUGACCCAUACUCAUGGAAUUCUUAGGAGCUACUGGCUGAUCUAAGCCUUGGCAUGUGGAUUGGAUCAUUCAGCCUGCAUAAUAGCCCCUGGUUCUGGGGCUCUUGUGAUCUACCGAUUUUGAGUGAAGAACCUAACAUUCCACAUAAAAACUCACACAAGGU